CUGCUUCCAGGAAAAGCCUCUAAGCAUCAGGUAACACGAAAUCGUACCCCAAACCGACACAGGUGGUCAGGUAGAGAAUACCAAGGCGCUUGAGAGAACUCGGGUGAAGGAACUAGGCAAAAUGGUGCCGUAACUUCGGGAGAAGGCACGCUGACACGUAGGUGAAGUGAUUUACUCAUGGAGCUGAAGUCAGUCGAAGAUACCAGCUGGCUGCAACUGUUUAUUAAAAACACAGCACUGUGCAAACACGAAAGUGGACGUAUACGGUGUGACGCCUGCCCGGUGCCGGAAGGUUAAUUGAUGGGGUCAGCGCAAGCGAAGCUCAUGAUCGAAGCCCCGGUAAACGGCGGCCGUAACUAUAACGGUCCUAAGGUAGCGAAAUUCCUUGUCGGGUAAGUUCCGACCUGCACGAAUGGCGUAAUGAUGGCCAGGCUGUCUCCACCCGAGACUCAGUGAAAUUGAACUCGCUGUGAAGAUGCAGUGUACCCGCGGCAAGACGGAAAGACCCCGUGAACCUUUACUAUAGCUUGACACUGAACAUUGAGCCUUGAUGUGUAGGAUAGGUGGGAGGCUUUGAAGUGUGGACGCCAGUCUGCAUGGAGCCGACCUUGAAAUACCACCCUUUAAUGUUUGAUGUUCUAACGUGGACCCGUAAUCCGGGUUGCGGACAGUGUCUGGUGGGUAGUUUGACUGGGGCGGUCUCCUCCUAAAGAGUAACGGAGGAGCACGAAGGUUGGCUAAUCCUGGUCGGACAUCAGGAGGUUAGUGCAAUGGCAUAAGCCAGCUUGACUGCGAGCGUGACGGCGCGAGCAGGUGCGAAAGCAGGUCAUAGUGAUCCGGUGGUUCUGAAUGGAAGGGCCAUCGCUCAACGGAUAAAAGGUACUCCGGGGAUAACAGGCUGAUACCGCCCAAGAGUUCAUAUCGACGGCGGUGUUUGGCACCUCGAUGUCGGCUCAUCACAUCCUGGGGCUGAAGUAGGUCCCAAGGGUAUGGCUGUUCGCCAUUUAAAGUGGUACGCGAGCUGGGUUUAGAACGUCGUGAGACAGUUCGGUCCCUAUCUGCCGUGGGCGCUGGAGAACUGAGGGGGGCUGCUCCUAGUACGAGAGGACCGGAGUGGACGCAUCACUGGUGUUCGGGUUGUCAUGCCAAUGGCACUGCCCGGUAGCUAAAUGCGGAAGAGAUAAGUGCUGAAAGCAUCUAAGCACGAAACUUGCCCCGA
rnacentral:rRNA from 1 species